rnacentral:rRNA from 1 species
UGGGGAAUAUUGCACAAUGGGGGAAACCCUGAUGCAGCGACGCCGCGUGAGCGAAGAAGUAUUUCGGUAUGUAAAGCUCUGUCAGCAGGGAAGAAAAUGACGGUACCUGACCAAGAAGCUCCGGCUAAAUACGUGCCAGCAGCCGCGGUAAUACGUAUGGAGCAAGCGUUAUCCGGAUUUACUGGGUGUAAAGGGAGCGCAGGCGGCAGGGCAAGUCUGAUGUGAAAACCCGGGGCUCAACCCCGGGACUGCAUUGGAAACUGUCCGGCUAGAGUGUCGGAGGGGUAAGUGGAAUUCCUAGUGUAGCGGUGAAAUGCGUAGAUAUUAGGAGGAACACCGGUGGCGAAGGCGGCUUACUGGACGACAACUGACGCUGAGGCUCGAAAGCGUGGGGAGCAAACA